ACGGGUGCGGAACACGUACGCAACCUUCCUUCAAAUGGGGAAUAGCCUUUCGAAAGAGAGAUUAAUACCCCGUAACAUUUUCUGGUGGCAUCACUGGAUUAUUAUAGCUCCGGCGUUUGAAGAUGGGCGUGCGCCUGAUUAGGUAGUUGGCGGAGUAACAGCCCACCAAGCCUACGAUCAGUAACUGGUGUGAGAGCACGACCAGUCACACGGGCACUGAGACACGGGCCCGACUCCUACGGGAGGCAGCAGUAAGGAAUAUUGGUCAAUGGACGCAAGUCUGAACCAGCCAUGCCGCGUGGAGGAUGAAGGUCCUCUGGAUUGUAAACUUCUUUUAUCGGAGAAGAAACCCUAGCAUUCUUGCUGGGUUGACGGUACCCGAUGAAUAAGCACCGGCUAACUCCGUGCCAGCAGCCGCGGUAAUACGGAGGGUGCAAGCGUUAUCCAGAUUCACUGGGUUUAAAGGGAGCGUAGGUGGGGUGGUAAGUCAGUGGUGAAAUCUCCGGGCUUAACUCGGAAACUGCCGUUGAUACUAUCAUUCUUGAAUAUUGUGGAGGUAAGCGGAAUAUGUCAUGUAG
rnacentral:rRNA from 1 species